rnacentral:rRNA from 1 species
AAUCAUUAGCCUCUUAAUUAGAGGCUAGAAUGAAUGGUUUAACAUUUCUUUAACUUUUUUAAAAAUUAAUAUAAAAUUUAUAUUAAAUAUAAAAAUAUAUUUAUUACUAAAUUAGACGACAAGACCCUUUCAAACUUAACUGAAGUUUAGCUGGGGUAGCUAAAUAAUUAUAAUCUUAUUAAUUGCAACAAAACAGACCCAAUCAAAGUUGACUAAAUGAAUAAGUUACUGAAGGGAUAACAGCAUAAUAAAUUUAUAUAGCUCUUAUUUAAAAAUUAGUUUAUGACCUCGAUGUUGAAUUAUCUUACUUCUACACGCAAGAGUUUAGAAAGAAGGUCUGUUCGACCUUUAAAUUUU